rnacentral:rRNA from 1 species
UUGGAGGGCAAGUCUGGUGCCAGCAGCCGCGGUAAUUCCAGCUCCAAUAGCGUACAUUAAAGUUGUUGCAGUUAAAAAGCUCGUAGUUGAAUUUCGGGAUCAGAGUGUCGGUCGUGCCUCGGUACGCACUGGUAUUAUUGGUUCCUACCUUCUGAAGAACCGCGAUGUCAUUAAUUUGGUGUCGUGGGGAAUCAGGACUGUUACUUUGAAAAAAUUAGAGUGUUUAAAGUAGGCUUACGCUUGAAUACAUUAGCAUGGAAUAAUGAAAUAGGACGUUUGAUUCUAUUUUGUUGGUUUCUAGGAUUGACGUAAUGAUUAAUAGGGAUAGUUGGGGGCAUUAGUAUUCAAUUGUCAGAGGUGAAAUUCUUGGAUUUUAUUGAAGACUAACUACUGCGAAAGCAUUUGCCAAGGAUGUUUUCAUUAAUCAAGAACGAAAGUUAGGGGAUCGAAGACGAUCAGAUACCGUCGUAGUCUUAACCAUAAACUAUGCCGACUAGGGAUCGGAUGAUGUUAAUUUUUUAAUGACUCAUUCGCGCCUUACGGAAAAC